GGGCGGGUGGUGAAAUUGGUAGACACGCCAGUCUUAGGAACUGGUGGCUUCGGCCGUGAAGGUUCAAGUCCUUUCCCGCCCACCA
rnacentral:tRNA from 1 species